AACACUGCAUCUACCCCCCCACCCCCACACACCCCUCCAGCACACAGACACACAUUCACACCAGCCAAACAACGCAGGAUCCAAAGCACACCCUUCUCAAAGUACAAUGAUCUAUUUCUAGCUAGAAUACCAACCGAACAUUUUGCAUUCCAUCUGGGGAAGAACGCUAAGAGACAAUGAUGCACAAUGAUGCAGAUAGGAAAAGACAGACAAGUGGGGAGAAAAAGGAGGAAAGAAUAAUGGUGAUUUCAUUAAAGAGAAGAUAAAAUUGUGAUCUUUGAAAACCUAAAAUAUCUAUAUCUAGUCAAUGGAAUCCUGUGUCAACCCCGACCACCAAAUAUAAUUAUUUUAAAACAAGAUACUACAGUCAUCUAAGCAUUCAUAUUUCCCAGACAAAAGUGCAGAUCUUUAUAGUUGAAUAAAGCCACUGAGUAUGUAAUGGUCCUAAAUAUUAGAUAUAACAGAACCAUUAAAUCCCACAGUAAAAAACAGACCAUCUGAUCUAAGUUAUAAAACACAAAUUUAAUUAAUCUUUAAUUACAAAACACAGCUUAGCAAAAACUAAAUGUUAAAUCAAAGAUUUUGAAAACAAAUAUUGUUUGCCAAUGUAUAGAAAUGAUAGCUUUACAUUAUAUUGUAAACAAAACUCCAUUUCAGGAGUAAUUACAAGAUAGAAAAAGAUGCAAGCAAAAAAGAAGUAAUUAAAUGAUUUCCAAACUUUUGCUUUAAAAUAAUUUUCAGUGGAAGUCUAAGAGAAAAAGGUUAAAGAAACUAUACCUCAGAGGGAAAAGAUCAUCUUCUUUUCUUCUUUGUCUAUCAGUCCCUUGUUAAAGCAUAUGGAAAAUGUUUUCAAAAUGCCCAGAUUUGGCACACUGUCAUAGCAAAGAGAGGAGCACUGUGAUGCUGGAGAGAAGAUGGGAAAUAAAUUCAGGAUUGGGUGCUGCCUCCUUCAAUGUGGAUUUAUCUAAGUUUAAUUUAAUAUUCUGCAAUCACUGGAUGAUCACAUAUAAUUCACCAAGAUUUUAAAGGGCUUUAUUUAAAUACCUCGAGCAACAAGAGAAUGAAACUUAAGCCAUUGCAACCAUUGCUUAUAUAUUUUUAUUUUCUCAUUAGAACUUUAAGUGGCAGUUUCUAAUAAAAGGGAAAACGAUAAACGUUUUGUUUUUUUAAGGGGAGAAUGCUCAAGGAAAGCAUUAGCUUUAUUAAAAUCAUUCUGAACAUAAAAUCAAAAAGCACAAAAUAGUUGUUUGUAAAACACUAAACCUUUAAUCGAUUUUAUUGGCAUUCCGAUCGAUUAGAUAAACGGAAAUCUAUAGCAAACAUCAAAGCAUUUAAAACAUUUUCUCUAUCACAUUUAUAAACAAAACUUUUCAACAGAAAAAAAUGAUUAUCAAACGACUAACAGGAAAUUCUUCAGAUAUCAAAUUACGAUAAUAAAAUUAUUUCCACAUGGAAAGGGAUAAUGACAAUGAUGAUAGUAAUUACAAUAAUGAAUAAUUCAACAACCCUUUGACAUGUAUGGAAGAACCUCGAGCAGAAACUGUCUUGGAGGGGGCUACUUUAAAAUAAAUACUUUAUUUUUAAAGGAAAUGUUUCUUAGAGACACUCAAGGGGAUAGGUUUAGGUGUGGUUAUCGGACUCCUGUUAAUUUCCCUGCAUUUGCAAAGGAGUCAAUUUCUUUGCUAGCGUCUUUCUUUCAAAUUGAAUUAUUUCUUGCCAGCAAAAAUUAAUAUGCAAAUGCCAGGGCGCCCUACCAGGUUUACAAACUUGUGUCUGGACCUGUCUUCUUAUUCUAAAAGGUGAUUCCUAAAUUAUGGGGGGAGGGGGAGUGGAAUGCAGGCGAGGAAUCGACUCCUCAAAUCUGAAGGUGAUCACAAGGUUUGAUCUUUUAAGUGAAGGGAAACAAUUUAUUAGGAGCUAGGGAAACUGCUGUCCCGAGAAACGCAGUCAUCAGAGAGCAUGACAUUCUAGCGGCAGCAAGAGGACGUGUUUCUGUAACGGGUAUUGCUUAUUUGUUAAAGAAAAUCAAUGAAAGUGACCGUAAAGUAGUUCGUGAAGCGAGUGUUUGGGACUCGGGGUGGACCCUGCAGGCUGAACCAGCAGCCCCGGUUCUUGCCGAAGAGUCCCCGCGUCGUCCCGAGCCCGGUGCAGGCUGCGCAGCGCUCGGUGUCCAGCUCGCGGUGCUGAGCGCAGUGCCCUGUCAGCCGCCUAAGUCGUUUCCAGUAGCGACACUUCUGACCCUGGGUCCGGACAGUGGCUCCUUCCAGUGGCCUGUGGCUGUCUUUCCACGCCCUCCCUCGGCAGCCCGCACCUUGUUCUUCCUUUCUUGCUAUCCCUUGUCCUUUCCUCCUUCCUUUUCGAUACAGGUCUGAACUAACUUUUGUACUUCUUCGCUCGCGAUCGGAAUUUCACUCUUCGAAAUUUCUGUCUUCUCGGGGAAUCGCCCAGUCCUUCCUACCAGCCCCUCCCCCCGGGUUCUGUCCUGCCUUUUCUUUAGUACCCGGGCACUGCUAUGCAGUCCUCCAGACAUUCCAGAGAGUUCUCAUCGCACCAGAACUUGCUCUUGCCUCCUCCUCCUGCCCUGGAUUGGUGUGGGAGGGGGUGAUUUCGAGUUGAACUCCCAAGGGUUUUUAUUCUAUUCUUUUAACAGCUUCACUUUCCCUUUUCUUCUCUGCAUAACCUUCACCUACCUACUAAUUUAUAACAGAAGCGGUUCUUUCCCUUUGCUUGCGCGGUUUACAGUUUCCGUCGGGGCUGCGCGCACACAACCCUGCGUCGCCAGCCGCCUGCCCGCCAAUGACUUCCGUCUAUUCGGUUGCCGUCUAAUUGCUCUUUAUCUUCUCACAUGGUCAGCAUUCCCACCUCCCCCUUCAUCUCCACCCUCACUGCGGCCCGGCUGCAGGAGGGGAGCGCGGCCCGAAGACCUCGUCCUCUGCCUUCUGAUUUCUCGCUGCUGCAGCUGACGCUGAAAUUCGCUGUGGCCGCUGCCUCUUCCCGCUUUAAUCCCAGACCUCCAGUCAUUGGGCAGCUCCUCAGAGGCAAGAAGUCAACACCAUGGCAACACGACAAGCCUAUCAAAUCACCGGCUGGCGUGACCGCAGCAGCGUUGUAGACAGGAGUGGGCUGGGCAGAGGAACCGAGGGGCCACUAGCUCAGGUACAGUCUUGGGGUGGUCAGCAGCUGUCAGCCCCUGCCGUCUGGCUACACAGAUGUGCACCACCCAGUUCAUACCCGGACCCUAAAUUCCCUAGUAGGUGAGGAGGAGGAGGGGGAAGGAUGCGUAUAGGAUUGAGAUUGCUGCAGAAGAGCUUCAAGCUAAAAGUCACCAAAGCCCUAGAUAUUGUGAAUUAAAGAUGCCUUGUGCCUAGAAUGGAAGGAAUCACUAAGUCACAACAGCUUCAGAACCAAUUGUCAGGACUUGGCCCAAAGGUGUGGGUUUCUUCUUCAAAAGUUCUGUCACUUGCUUAAA